AGCUGUCAGUGUUUUUUUCUUUCAAUUGUUCCAAUUUGGACGAGAGGCCUUAUUCAAUUCCAUUUAUGUUGUGUCACAAAUUGGUUUCACAGGGCUUUACAAUGUGAUCCCAUCCUCUGGCCCCCACGGGAACAACUCUGUCACUGAGGUCCUCCUUCAUCUUCAUCACUCAUCGUGAGAGGGGGGCACGGCGGUUUAUCUCCAGAGGAUCUCCCCCCGCUAUCGCCUUCCAGCGGCCCAGCGCCCCAUCCCACAGGAGCCGCUAAAAGCAAAUGUCAGUCAAGGAGAAGCUGCAUUCCUUUAGGAGGGCGGGUCGAGGCUUCCACUGUUCUCUCUGCGGACGCUGUAGGAUUUACUGUCAUCGCUGCACGAAGCGGGGAAUGACCAAGGGGGAGGAC
ensembl:lncRNA